rnacentral:rRNA from 1 species
GGGAGCUUGCUCCCUGAUGUUAGCGGCGGACGGGUGAGUAACACGUGGGUAACCUGCCUGUAAGACUGGGAUAACUCCGGGAAACCGGGGCUAAUACCGGAUGGUUGUCUGAACCGCAUGGUUCAGACAUAAAAGGUGGCUUCGGCUACCACUUACAGAUGGACCCGCGGCGCAUUAGCUAGUUGGUGAGGUAACGGCUCACCAAGGCGACGAUGCGUAGCCGACCUGAGAGGGUGAUCGGCCACACUGGGACUGAGACACGGCCCAGACUCCUACGGGAGGCAGCAGUAGGGAAUCUUCCGCAAUGGACGAAAGUCUGACGGAGCAACGCCGCGUGAGUGAUGAAGGUUUUCGGAUCGUAAAGCUCUGUUGUUAGGGAAGAACAAGUGCCGUUCAAAUAGGGCGGCACCUUGACGGUACCUAACCAGAAAGCCACGGCUAACUACGUGCCAGCAGCCGCGGUAAUACGUAGGUGGCAAGCGUUGUCCGGAAUUAUUGGGCGUAAAGGGCUCGCAGGCGGUUUCUUAAGUCUGAUGUGAAAGCCCCCGGCUCAACCGGGGAGGGUCAUUGGAAACUGGGGAACUUGAGUGCAGAAGAGGAGAGUGGAAUUCCACGUGUAGCGGUGAAAUGCGUAGAGAUGUGGAGGAACACCAGUGGCGAAGGCGACUCUCUGGUCUGUAACUGACGCUGAGGAGCGAAAGCGUGGGGAGCGAACAGGAUUAGAUACCCUGGUAGUCCACGCCGUAAACGAUGAGUGCUAAGUGUUAGGGGGUUUCCGCCCCUUAGUGCUGCAGCUAACGCAUUAAGCACUCCGCCUGGGGAGUACGGUCGCAAGACUGAAACUCAAAGGAAUUGACGGGGGCCCGCACAAGCGGUGGAGCAUGUGGUUUAAUUCGAAGCAACGCGAAGAACCUUACCAGGUCUUGACAUCCUCUGACAAUCCUAGAGAUAGGACGUCCCCUUCGGGGGCAGAGUGACAGGUGGUGCAUGGUUGUCGUCAGCUCGUGUCGUGAGAUGUUGGGUUAAGUCCCGCAACGAGCGCAACCCUUGAUCUUAGUUGCCAGCAUUCAGUUGGGCACUCUAAGGUGACUGCCGGUGACAAACCGGAGGAAGGUGGGGAUGACGUCAAAUCAUCAUGCCCCUUAUGACCUGGGCUACACACGUGCUACAAUGGACAGAACAAAGGGCAGCGAAACCGCGAGGUUAAGCCAAUCCCACAAAUCUGUUCUCAGUUCGGAUCGCAGUCUGCAACUCGACUGCGUGAAGC